rnacentral:rRNA from 1 species
UACGUAGGGGGCAAGCGUUGUCCGGAGUUACUGGGCGUAAAGCGCACGCAGGCGGUCUGCUAAGUUUGGAGUGACAGUUGGUGGCUCAACUACCAAAGUGCUUUGAAAACUGACAGACUUGAGGACUUCAGAGGGACACGGAAUUCCGGGUGGAGUGGUGAAAUGCGUAGAGAUCCGGAGGAACACCAAAGGCGAAGGCAGUGUCCUGGGGAGUACCUGACGCUCAGACACGACAGCAUGGGGAGCGAACGGG